GUCUACAGCCAUGCCACCCUGAACAUGCCUGAUCCCGUUUGAUCUUGGAGGCUAAGCAGGGUCAGGCCUGGUUAGUACUUGGAUGGGAGACCACCUAGAAGACUGGGUGCUAUAGGUG
rnacentral:rRNA from 1 species